UACGGGGGGGGCAAGCGUUGUUCGGAAUUACUGGGCGUAAAGGGCCAGUAGGCGGCCAACUAAGUCGGACGUGAAAUCCCCAGGCUCAACCUGGGAACUGCGUCCGAUACUGGAUGGCUUGAAUUCGGGAGAGGGAUGCAGAAUUCCAGGUGUAGCGGUGAAAUGCGUAGAUAUCAGGAGGAACACCGGUGGCGAAGGCGGGUCUCUGGGCCGAUACUGACGCUGAGGAGCGAAAGCGUGGGGAGCGAACAGG
rnacentral:rRNA from 1 species